rnacentral:rRNA from 1 species
CCGGUGCUUGCACUGGUCAAUCUAGUGGCGAACGGGUGAGUAACACGUGGGUAACCUGCCCAUCAGAGGGGGAUAACAUUCGGAAACGGAUGCUAAAACCGCAUAGGUCCUUGAACCGCAUGGUUGAAGGAGGAAAAGAGGCGCAAGCUUCUGCUGAUGGAUGGACCCGCGGUGCAUUAGCUAGUUGGUGAGGUAACGGCUCACCAAGGCCGUGAUGCAUAGCCGACCUGAGAGGGUGAUCGGCCACAUUGGGACUGAGACACGGCCCAAACUCCUACGGGAGGCAGCAGUAGGGAAUCUUCCGCAAUGGACGCAAGUCUGACGGAGCAACGCCGCGUGAGUGAAGAAGGUUUUCGGAUCGUAAAACUCUGUUGUUAGAGAAGAACAAGUGCUAGAGUAACUGUUAGCGCCUUGACGGUAUCUAACCAGAAAGCCACGGCUAACUACGUGCCAGCAGCCGCGGUAAUACGUAGGUGGCAAGCGUUGUCCGGAUUUAUUGGGCGUAAAGCGAGCGCAGGCGGUUCCUUAAGUCUGAUGUGAAAGCCCCCGGCUCAACCGGGGAGGGUCAUUGGAAACUGGGGAACUUGAGUGCAGAAGAGGAGAGCGGAAUUCCAUGUGUAGCGGUGAAAUGCGUAGAUAUAUGGAGGAACACCAGUGGCGAAG